GAUCCGACCUCUAAGGUCCGAAUACCAGUUUUGUCAUCAACCUUCCAGGUGCUUCCAGCUCUCAUGGACCACAGAAAAUUAUGCCAAUAUGAGUCAACGUCUGUCGAUUGGGAAAACCCAAAAAAAACCCGUUCACAAAUCUUUUGGUUUAUACAACUCACACAUGACCGAGGCUGACCGCCAAUUAUAUAAAUAAUAAAAUACACGCACGACGUGAAUAUUCUCGUGAGCCACUCAAUGACGAAGUUAAAAAAAAACGACUUGGACUACGUGAUGUGUUUUCAAGUUGAGUCAGCCAAUCUCCGCCGACGUCAGAAAUUCUAUGAAUAAAUUUGAGACACAUUUUUCGCGCUAUGAAAUUGGGAAUCCACAUAGAACUUGUUUAUUCUUUCGAAUUUCAACCACCGUGCGCCCUCCUAGUAUAUAUAAAACCUAGCGAACAUUCAGCGAAGCCCAGAAUGGAAACUGUGAGUGUUGCGGCUCUAUCUACCUUACAACAGGAUUGACACGGAUUGAAGUUGUUAUGUCUCUUGGAUUUCGUUUAGUUGAUGAAAUGUGCUCAUUUCAGUAGGCCUGUUUGUUAAUGGAUAUUUCUUCUGACGUUCCAACUGUCGCAUUUAAGCACUUUUGUUUAUUUGUGCUGAUUCAAUUGUCUUAUAGAAUUAGCAAUGCACAGAGUCGUGAUAAAGUCCUUAUAGUUACAGCAGUUCGCUUGGUAAAACAAUGUGCUCUCCUCAGGCAACGCGCUGGAUUUUUUCCAGGUUCUCCGCCAUCAUCACCAGCACCUGAAGCAAAUAUUAUACCAUCGACUAAAACACUCGCAUCGUGAAGCGCACCCCUUUUUUUCAUAAUUAUAUUUUCAUUUCAAGAGAAUUAAGUAGCGACCUUCGUCAUGGAGAAUUUGGGAGUUAAAAAUACCAAGCAUCACCACGCGGGGAAAUUGAAGGUAUACGGGAAAUCCAGCUCAGAAACCAAAUAAUUCCAAUUUGAAAAAAACAAACGAUAAAGCGUCAAAACAAGAACUGCCGAUUUCGCAAAAUCCUUGAAAUAAUACCUGACUUCGAAAGGCGAGGCGUGUUUGCAUUAAACAUUGUACAAAACAAGCAAUCAGCGACGAUCAGCGAUACAGGAACAUUAAUCAGAGAACAGGUUGGACGUAUAUAGAAAGUAUACCAGGCCACGACCGGGUUUAUAUCAACCCUCCCAUUUCACCUCUAAAUAUCAUGUGUAAGUACUUCAUGUUUUCUUUAAUUGGUUCGUUUUGUUUCUGUGGUGAACGAGAUGACCAAAACCAUACCUGGAAGCAGUUAUCAAUCUUUACGCAUAACGAUAGCGGCUUGUGUGGAUCUGUAAAGCAAUCGAAAAAUAUAAUGCAAUGAAACCUUGAUGAUUGUUGAUUGUAAAAGUCCAAAAAAAAAAUAAAACAUUAAUCAAUUAUGUUUCGUUUGAAUGUUCUAGAAGGGGGGAAAAACCGAACAGAUUUCGCUUCGAGUAUAUACUGCUGCGGCUACACUUGAUUUGAAUUGUUACAUCACCCGUGCUGAUUAUUUUGGCUGAUAACGCCUUAGUAAAUUGCUGGAUGGAUCCAAAGUAGUUUGACUUGCUCGCGAUAGAAAACGCGCCAAUGGCACACUAACCGCCAAAAGUCUUCGCUAAUUACUGAAUUUCCGGGUGUAAUACUACAAGGGCACGUCACGAAAAUAAUGCGCAGAUUGCUGAUGAUAUAUCGACGACAGAAAUGGCAUUGGUAGCCAGCGCUUCUCAUCGGAGGGUUGAGUAUAAAAGAACCGGAGAGCUGAUCAUCACCAGCCAUAUCACCGUCGAACUCUUAGCAGUUCUCUCCACUCUCUCCAGCAACGACAUUAUGAAGUUUAAGAUCGCUUGCGUUUUGCUUCUGGCUGUGGCCGCUCAAACCCAGUUGAUCGGCGUUUAUGCUGGCUACCCAUCACUGCUACCCGCUGCUACCGACGCCGCUCCAUCCCGCGCAAAGCGUCAAGUAGCAGACGUGUGGCAAAAGAUUUUAAAAGACGGUCCAAGAUGGGGACGAAGCGUGAAUGAAAUGAUUGAACCAGCAGAGACAUCGCCUGACACUCUAGAGAAGAGCAUCGACGCCGCUCCAUCCCGCAAUAAG
rnacentral:lncRNA from 1 species